rnacentral:rRNA from 1 species
UAAGUAGUGGCGAGCGAACAGGGACCAGCCUGCAAGAGAUAACUAGUGUGUUAGUGGAACGCUCUGGAAAAGUGCGGCCAUAGUGGGUGAUAGCCCCGUACGCGAAAACACAUUAGCGAGACUGAGCUUGCGACAAGUAGGGCGGGACACGUGAAAAUCCUGUCUGAAGAUGGGGGGGACCAUCCUCCAAGGCUAAAAUACUCGUAAUCGACCGAUAGUGAACCAGUACCGUGAGGGAAAGGCGAAAAGAACCCCGGGAGGGGAGUGAAAUAGAUCCUGAAACCGCAUGCAUACAAACACGUGGGAGCCUCGCAAGGGGUGACUGCGUACCUUUUGUAUAAUGGGUCAGCGACUUACGUUCUGUAGCGAGCUUAACCGAAUAGGGGGAGGGCGUUAGCGAAAGCGAGUCUGAUAA